UUAGGUGAUUUCACUAAUGAGGUGCCUUUAUUCUUUCAUUAAAUGUGCAUGUUAAAGUCUUACAAGACUUAAAGAAAACAUUGAAUAAAUCUUAGCAGUUGUCUAUGUUCUGAAUAUACAAAGACAAUUUAUAAGCAAGUAGAGUCAGUGUGAUUUCUUUUAAGAUAGCUGGAGUUACUUUAGCUCUUUGGUUUUGCAAAUCUAAAUAAAGAGCCACUAAAGCAAUGGAUAUUACAACAAUUUAAUAAAAUUCUUAUUUAAAAAGUAACUCUUGCUUCAUGACCUCUAAAAUAUAUGCAUGUUUUCUUAUUUCAGAUAGUGCAGAUUCCUUUCUGCGGAGAAAUAGAAUGUGAGGAUUGGAUCAAAAAAACAACUGCCAGAGAUCAAGAUCUUGAACCUGGCGCUCCAUCCAUGGGAGCAAAAAGUCUCUGCAUCCCCUUUAAACCACUUUGUGAGCUGCAGAAUGGAGCAAGAUGUGUCUGUGACAAGAACCCUGCAAAGUUUUACACUCUCUUUGGACGCAGUUAUUAAAUUACCGUUGGAAAUGAUAGUUUCCUUAUAUUUCAACUCAACUUUUUAAAUUAAAGACUGAGAUGUUUCCUGAUACUAUCCAGGUUUUUUGUUGUUAUUUUUUAAAAUAGCAACUAACAAAGCCAUAGAGAGUCAUAUCCUUCAGUGCAACUUGCAGUAUUGCAUAAACCUUUCUGUAAACAGUAUCUCUAUAAUAAAUAAGUAUUGUCAUCUA